GUAAUCAGACGAGCUGGCGCUUCUCUCCCUUUUGUAAUAAAGUGGCAGAGCGCAUGUAGCGACGACCUUUGUUAUAGCUCUGCCCGUGCCCUCGGCUCAUCAGAAUUCCAUGCACCUCUCAUUUUUCAUUCUUUCCUCCCUGCCAGGGUCCCUCGAUGCAGCAGUCUGUCUCCAUGGAGGAGAGGGGAGGGUGACUUUGUAUGUCAUGACCUCUGACCCUUGUUCUCGCCCAACUCUACAGCAUUGUAGCGCUCGCUGCACUUGACAGUGCCGGCACCAUGUACAGUCUUUUUUCUUUACUAAAAGAGCACUUCAAGGACAGCUUGGCCAUUUUAUGACCAUUUUGCUGCAGAGUGAACCAAAAUAGUUCGACCUCCUGAACAGCCACGUUCCUUCCAAAAGUCAAGAGGGGUGGAAGAGCUGGGAUUUGGCAUCCUAGAUCAUCAUCACACAGACGGGGAGGACCCAGUCAGGGUCUCAUGGCUACACAUGUAAACCCGACAUGCCCCCCCGCCCUGAAAAAAUAGAUAUGAGUGAUCAGUGUGGGGGCCAGAUGUCUGCCAGCAGUGUGGAAGAAGAUGAGUUGAGCCACAGCUUCUUCCCCUGACCUCUCCAGGGACUCGCAUGCAGCCCCGUCGAACACCGCGUCCACAUUGACAGAUCUCACACACUCAUUCUGACAGGUGAAGAAGGGGCGAUAGUGGCGAAAAGGUUGGGAUGAUCACCCACCGCCCCACAGCGACCGGGCGAUGAGUUUUCUCGCUAUGAUUUCUUCGCCUCGCUCUCGCCCCCUGCUUACCAUCCCCGUCUCCACCGUUCUCUCGCUCUCUCCUUCCAUAUACCCCCCACUGCCAACCCCCUCCUCUUCGCUCAUCCUCAUAUGAUAAUCUGUUCUGACUCGUAGCCAGCUGCCUCCCUCUGAUACAAUAUUCUGGUUUUAGUGCAAUCCAGCCUUGGCCAAUAACCACGUUGCAUUUGGCAUUUCCCUGAACAAGCUGCUUCUCGUAUCAUCUCAAGACAAACAGCACGAGUCUUCACUUUCAGACGCUACAAUAUUUCAAAUCGGAAAAUAAAAAAAAAAAAAAGUGGGGGGGGGAUAAAAAAAUAUUUGUUUACACCAUGAAUAUUUCAAAAUUGGAGAUUGUGGAGACUCAUUUCACAUUCUCUUUAGAUGUGUGUGACAUUAACAACAUGACUGCAUCGCUGUAUAUUUGCCAGAGAGUGAUGACGCUUCCACCGGGAGAGAAUUGCACAUUAAGUAUGCAAUUGUUACAGACAAUUUGAAUAUUUAUUUAUUGCCACGUGAUGCCUUCCACUGUGUCCUAAUAAAUGAAUAAAGGUAUGCCUGACCAUAUACAAAAUGGAAAUGAGAACGCAACAGCCGUUGCGACAUAAAUCUUUCCAUGACAACGUUUCAUUAGGACCCCUGUGAUCCAUUAGGGACACUAAACAUAUUAACUCACGUUGCGUCAACAACGGGCUCUUAUUGUGCCGCCUCUAAUGAACUAAAUAUCAUGCAGAGGCUGAUAGCAUCAAUUGAAGCGUGUCUGGGAUAGAAAGUAAUCAGCCGCUAUCCUGAACUAUUGAAAACAAUGUCAAGAGAUGUUGAAGUCUCAUUUUCACAGACGCAAGAGUCUCACCAUGAUGACUUAAAAAAGCUCAACUAGGAGCCCUGCCUCGAUUUGUGGUUGCUUUUCAAAAGCAGUUCUUC